rnacentral:rRNA from 1 species
UGGGGAAUAUUGGACAAUGGGCGAAAGCCUGAUCCAGCCAUGCCGCGUGUGUGAAGAAGGUCUUCGGAUUGUAAAGCACUUUAAGUUGGGAGGAAGGGCAGUAAGUUAAUACCUUGCUGUUUUGACGUUACCAAAAGAAUAAGCACCGGCUAACUUCGUGCCAGCAGCCGCGGUAAUACGAAGGGUGCAAGCGUUACUCGGAAUUACUGGGCGUAAAGCGUGCGUAGGUGGUUGUUUAAGUCUGUCGUGAAAGCCCUGGGCUCAACCUGGGAAUGGCGAUGGAAACUGGGCGACUAGAGUGUGGCAGAGGGUAGUGGAAUUCCUGGUGUAGCAGUGAAAUGCGUAGAGAUCAGGAGGAACAUCCGUGGCGAAGGCGACUGCCUGGGCCAACACUGACACUGAGGCACGAAAGCGUGGGGAGCAAACAGGAUUAGAUACCCUGGUAGUCCACGCCCUAAACGAUGCGAACUGGAUGUUGGGUGCAAUUUGGCACGCAGUAUCGAAGCUAACGCGUUAAGUUCGCCGCCUGGGGAGUACGGUCGCAAGACUG